rnacentral:rRNA from 1 species
AACGCUAGCUACAGGCUUAACACAUGCAAGUCGAGGGGCAUCAGUUUGGUUUGCUUGCAAACCAAAGCUGGCGACCGGCGCACGGGUGAGUAACACGUAUCCAACCUGCCUCAUACUCGGGGAUAGCCUUUCGAAAGAAAGAUUAAUAUCCGAUAGCAUAUAUUUCCCGCAUGGGUUUUAUAUUAAAGAAAUUCGGUAUGAGAUGGGGAUGCGUUCCAUUAGUUUGUUGGGGGGGUAACGGCCCACCAAGACUACGAUGGAUAGGGGUUCUGAGAGGAAGGUCCCCCACAUUGGAACUGAGACACGGUCCAAACUCCUACGGGAGGCAGCAGUGAGGAAUAUUGGUCAAUGGACGCGAGUCUGAACCAGCCAAGUAGCGUGAAGGAUGACUGCCCUAUGGGUUGUGAACUUCUUUUAUAUGGGAAUAAAGUUGUCCACGUGUGGAUUUUUGUAUGUACCAUAUGAAUAAGGAUCGGCUAACUCCGUGCCAGCAGCCGCGGUAAUACGGAGGAUCCGAGCGUUAUCCGGAUUUAUUGGGUUUAAAGGGAGCGUAGGCGGAUUGUUAAGUCAGUUGUGAAAGUUUGCGGCUCAACCGUAAAAUUGCAGUUGAUACUGGCAGUCUUGAGUGCAGUAGAGGUGGGCGGAAUUCGUGGUGUAGCGGUGAAAUGCUUAGAUAUCACGAAGAACUCCGAUUG